AUUGAACGCUGGCGGCAUGCCUUACACAUGCAAGUCGAACGGCAGCGGACCUUCGGGUGCCGGCGAGUGGCGAACGGGUGAGUAAUAUAUCGGAACGUACCGUUUCAGUGGGGGAUAACGUAGCGAAAGUUACGCUAAUACCGCAUAUUCUGUGAGCAGGAAAGCAGGGGAUCGCAAGACCUUGCGCUGAUUGAGCGGCCGAUAUCAGAUUAGCUAGUUGGUGAGGUAAAGGGCUCACCUAGGCGACGAUCCUGUAGCGGGUCUGAGAGGAUGGUCCGCCACACUGGAACUGAGACACGGUCCAGACUCCUACGGGAGGCAGCAGUGGGGAAUUUUGGACAAUGGACGCAAGCCUGAUCCAGCCAUGCCGCGUGAGUGAAGAAGGCCU
rnacentral:rRNA from 1 species